rnacentral:rRNA from 1 species
UACGUAGGGGGCUAGCGUUGUCCGGAAUCAUUGGGCGUAAAGAGCGUGUAGGCGGCCAGGUAGGUCCGCUGUGAAAGUCCGAGGCUCAACCUCGGAAUGUCGGCGGAAACCCUCUGGCUAGAGUCCGGAAGAGGAGAGUGGAAUUCCCGGUGUAGCGGUGAAAUGCGCAGAUAUCGGGAAGAACACCCGUGGCGAAGGCGGCUCUCUGGAACGGUACGUGACGCUGAGACGCGAAAGCGUGGGGAGCGAACAGG